rnacentral:lncRNA from 1 species
UAUAUAUAUCCACACACACGCACAUGGAUUAGUGUACGCCACAAUUUUCCAAAUGCAGUUCGAAUACUUCAUCAAGAUUUAUAUUUUGUGGAUGAAGACACAAGCUCUGCCCAACAAAGGAGAGUUUUCUAGCAGCGAUUGAAUCAAAGCAAUGGAGGAGAAUCCUCGAAGACAAGAAGCUGAACUUCACAAAUGAAUGGUGAUGAUCUUUGCGGGAAAAAGAAGAAGUGUCUCAUAAUUUCGACAAAGAGCCGAUUCAGAAGUCAUAGGAUGCGCGUGCUUCACACCAAUUUUUGAAGAGCGCAUUUUGAUUCAGGUGAAGACAAGAUGCCGUAACUCCUCUUAAGGGCCAUAUCA